UACGUAGGGUGCGAGCGUUGUCCGGAAUUAUUGGGCGUAAAGAGCUCGUAGGCGGUUUGUUGCGUCUAUCGUGAAAACCUGCAGCUUAACUGUGGGCUUGCGGUGGAUACGGGCAGACUUGAGUUCGGUAGGGGAGACUGGAAUUCCUGGUGUAGCGGUGAAAUGCGCAGAUAUCAGGAGGAACACCGGUGGCGAAGGCGGGUCUCUGGACCUGUCCUGACGCUCAGGCGCGAAAGCUAGGGGAGCGAACAGG
rnacentral:rRNA from 1 species